UGUUUCCUGAAUUUUAAUGGGAAAUACAGCCUGCCCAAUGAGUAUUGAAUGGCCGCGGUAUUUUGACCGUGCGAAGGUAGCAUAAUAAUUAGUCUAUUAAUUGUAGACUGGAAUGAAUGGCUAGAUGAAGAGAAACUGUUUCUAUAUCAAUAUUGAAAUUUAGAUUUUUGUGAAGACGCUAAAAUAUAAUUAAAAGACGAGAAGACCCUUUUAAGCUUUACAAUUAUUACUUUAAAUAUAUAAGUAUAAUUUGUUGUGUUGGGGCGACAUCAGAAAAAAUAACUUUUGAUUAAAUUUAACUAAUAUAAAUGAAAAUUUUUUAAGAUCCACAAUUUGUGAUUGCAAGAAGAAGUUACUGAAGGGAUAACAGCGUAAUCUUAUCGGAGAGUUCUUAUUGAUGAUAAGGAUUGCGACCUCGAUGUUGAAUUAGGAUCCCUAAAAGGUGUAGCCGCUUUUUCAGGUAGUCUGUUCGACUAUUAAAAUCCUACA
rnacentral:rRNA from 1 species